ensembl:miRNA cja-mir-9976-1 cja-mir-9976-1
GUUAAAUUUUCAGUCUUUCCCACUAGAAUGUAAGAGCCACAACAGCAUGGCUCUUACAUUCUAGUGGGAAAGACUGAAAAUUUUGC